rnacentral:rRNA from 1 species
GAGUUUGAUCCUGGCUCAGGAUGAACGCUAGCGGCAGGCUUAACACAUGCAAGUCGAGGGGUAACAGAGAGUGCUUGCACUUUGCUGACGACCGGCGCACGGGUGCGUAACGCGUAUGCAACCUACCUUCUACAGGGGGAUAGUCAAUAGAAAUGUUGAAUAAUACCCCAUACGAUCUUCGAGAGGCAUUACUUGAAGAAGAAAGCUCCGGCGGUAGAAGAUGGGCAUGCGUCCUAUUAGUUAGUUGGUGAGGUAACGGCUCACCAAGACCGCGAUAGGUAGGGGCCCUGAGAGGGGGAUCCCCCACACUGGUACUGAGACACGGACCAGACUCCUACGGGAGGCAGCAGUGAGGAAUAUUGGACAAUGGAGGCAACUCUGAUCCAGCCAUGCCGCGUGCAGGAAGACUGCCUUAUGGGUUGUAAACUGCUUUUAUACAGGAAGAAACCUACUUACGUGUAAGUAGCUGACGGUACUGUAAGAAUAAGGAUCGGCUAACUCCGUGCCAGCAGCCGCGGUAAUACGGAGGAUCCAAGCGUUAUCCGGAAUCAUUGGGUUUAAAGGGUCCGUAGGUGGUUUAUUAAGUCAGAGGUGAAAUCCUAUCGCUUAACGAUAGAACUGCCUUUGAUACUGAUAGACUUGAGUUAUUGUGAAGUAGUUAGAAUGUGUAGUGUAGCGGUGAAAUGCAUAGAUAUUACACAGAAUACCGAUUGCGAAGGCAGAUUACUAACAAUAUACUGACACUGAGGGACGAAAGCGUGGGUAGCGAACAGGAUUAGAUACCCUGGUAGUCCACGCCGUAAACGAUGGUCACUAGCUGUUUGGAAAACAUUGGUUUUUUGAGUGGCUAAGCGAAAGUGAUAAGUGACCCACCUGGGGAGUACGCUCGCAAGAGUGAAACUCUAAGGAAUUGACGGGGGCCCGCACAAGCGGUGGAGCAUGUGGUUUAAUUCGAUGAUACGCGAGGAACCUUACCAGGGCUUAAAUGUAAGUUGCAUGGACCAGAGAUGGACCUUUCUUCGGACUACUUACAAGGUGCUGCAUGGUUGUCGUCAGCUCGUGCCGUGAGGUGUCAGGUUAAGUCCUAUAACGAGCGCAACCCCUAUCGUUAGUUGCCAUCGGGUCAUGCCGGGAACUCUAACGAGACUGCCGGUGCAAACCGUGAGGAAGGUGGGGAUGACGUCAAAUCAUCACGGCCCUUACGUCCUGGGCCACACACGUGCUACAAUGGCCGGUACAGAGAGCAGCCACUACGCGAGUAGGCGCGAAUCUUCAAAACCGGUCUCAGUUCGGAUCGCAGUCUGCAACUCGACUGCGUGAAGCUGGAAUCGCUAGUAAUCGGAUAUCAGCCAUGAUCCGGUGAAUACGUUCCCGGGCCUUGCACACAC